GACGAACGCUGGCGGCGUGCUUAGCACAUGCAAGUCGAACGGAAAGGCCCUGCUUUUGUGGGGUGCUCGAGUGGCGAACGGGUGAGUAACACGUGAGUAACCUGCCCUUGACUUUGGGAUAACUUCAGGAAACUGGGGCUAAUACCGGAUAGGAGCUCCUGCUGCAUGGUGGGGGUUGGAAAGUUUCGGCGGUUGGGGAUGGACUCGCGGCUUAUCAGCUUGUUUGUGGGGUAGUGGCUUACCAAGGCUUUGACGGGUAGCCGGCCUGAGAGGGUGACCGGCCACAUUGGGACUGAGAUACGGCCCAGACUCCUACGGGAGGCAGCAGUGGGGAAUAUUGCACAAUGGGCGGAAGCCUGAUGCAGCAACGCCGCGUGCGGGAUGACGGCCUUCGGGUUGUAAACCGCUUUCGCCUGUGACGAAGCGUGAGUGACGGUAAUGGGUAAAGAAGCACCGGCUAACUACGUG
rnacentral:rRNA from 1 species